rnacentral:rRNA from 1 species
CACGUAGGAGGCGAGCGUUGUCCGGAAUCAUUGGGCGUAAAGAGCGCGCAGGCGGCUUGGCAAGUCGGGUGUGAAAUCCCGGGGCUCAACCCCGUGACUGCAUCCGAUACUGUCAGGCUAGAGGUAGGUAGGGGAGAUCGGAAUUCCUGGUGUAGCGGUGAAAUGCGCAGAUAUCAGGAGGAACACCGGUGGCGAAGGCGGAUCUCUGGGCCUUACCUGACGCUCAGGCGCGAAAGCGUGGGUAGCGAACAGG